rnacentral:tRNA from 1 species
UGUUCCCGCCCGGGAUCGAACCGGGGACCUUGUGCGUGUGAAGCACACGUGAUAACCGCUACACCACGGAAAC